AGGUGGGCCUGCUGACGUGGAAACAGAGUUGGUGGAAUGUAGCUCAUGAUAGCACUCGCCCCCAGGGCCUACCUGAGGCUUGCCUGUUAUUGUUGAAAACUUGCCAUGUGAUACUCCGUGUGAACGCUAGGCAACAACUCGAAAGUGAACACCAGGUUGAAGGAUGGAAUAAGGGUGCCUUGUACCACUGAGCCUCAGCUUUGUGAGCAGAGCUUCCAAGGAGACUGCAUUGCGGGACCAACAACCACAGGCCAGACUGCACGUUGAAGUGACACCAACACCACCAUCCGGAGUGAAUCUUUACCUUAGGAAUUCUUUACACUUGGAGACCACAUUAAAGAAGACUCAGGCAAAAGGAAAGGGUGUGGAAGCCUUGAGCCAUCUGGUGUGUAGUCUUGGAGGCAAGUUUGUUGUCCGUCACUGGUCUUGUCUUUAUUGCACACUCUGUCCCACAACGGGAGUGAUACAAUCUUGCGGUCAAGCCCAGGGAGUGAUUUUGAGGGAGAGAAGGCAAGCGACGGACCACUUGGUCUUCUUCCAGGCCAGGAUGCUGGGGCAAGAGUAGCUUGUGAGGCUUUUCCAUUACUCCUUAAUUUCGUGGGAUAGGAAAUUGAGCAGGGACUUGAGAUCCAAGCCUUAGCCAUGCAGAGUAUGGAUUCUGUGGAUUGUUCUUGGUAUGACAGAGGAACCUGGCUUAGUUAGAUGUGGAAACAAAGCUUUUUUUUUUUUUUUGC
rnacentral:lncRNA from 1 species